AGAGUUUGAUCCUGGCUCAGAAUGAACGCUGGCGGCGUGGAUUAGGCAUGCAAGUCGAACGAGAAUGUGAUCUUCGGAUUGCUAGUACAGUGGCGAACGGGUGAGUAACGCGUGGGAAACCUGCCCUCGAGUGGGGAAUAACAACUCUAACGGGUUGCUAAUACCGCAUAAUAUUGCAGGUCGCAUGGUCUGCAAUCAAAGGUGGCCUCUACUUGUAAGCUGUCGCUUGAGGAUGGUCCCGCGUCCCAUUAGCUAGUUGGUAGGGUAACGGCCUACCAAGGCGACGAUGGGUAGCCGGCCUGAGAGGGUGGUCGGCCACACUGGAACUGAGACACGGUCCAGACUCCUACGGGAGGCAGCAGUCGAGAGGCUUCGGCAAUGGGGGAAACCCUGACCGAGCGACGCCGCGUGGGUGAUGAAGUCCUUCGGGAUGUAAAACCCUGUCAUACGGGAUGAAAAAUUGAUCGGUUAAUAGCCUUUCAAUUUGACAGUACUGUAAGAGGAAGCUCCGGCCAACUCCGUGCCAGCAGCCGCGGUAAUACGGGGGGAGCGAGCGUUAUUCGGAUUCACUGGGCGUAAAGGGUUCGUAGGCGGUCAAGUAAGUCAGGGGUGAAAUCUAACGGCUCAACCGUUAAACUGCCCUUGAAACCGCUUGACUUGAGGACAUGAGAGGAAAGCGGAAUUCUCGGUGUAGCGGUGAAAUGCGUGGAUAUCGAGAGGAACACCAGUGGCGAAGGCGGCUUUCUGGCAUGUUACUGACGCUGAGGAACGAAAGUCAGGGGAGCGAACGGGAUUAGAUA
rnacentral:rRNA from 1 species